UCUAUCUCAUUAUCCAAUCAGAGUUAUGAAUCCUUAAAACGGCACUAUCAGUAAAUGGAAAUAUUUACUUCUUCUGAAACUAUGGUUAAGAAUAAACAGGAUAAAUAUACUUACCUUCUGGUGUCAAAAUUUUCAUAAUAUUUCCCCCAAAUUUAACAAAAAUCAUAAAUUAUGCAUCCCCGCAGAAAACUACCCCACCCCCCCACCUCUCAAAGGGACGUUCUCAUUUUUAUUUCUUGUAUAUCCUGGGGAUUAACUGUCAGUGCUAUAAGCAUAAUUGAUCUUAUAUCAAAUGGAUUUAUCUUAUAAAUAACUUUUUAGUUCAAACAAAAGUGCCAUUUUAAAUUUUUUUCGAAAGUGCUGGGGAUUCGUUCGAUACUACUUUUGAUUUUCUUAAACUGCAUUUUCUUUAAAUACUCUAGAUUUCGGCCUAAUCUACAAAUUAAAGAAACUGUGGACGAAAUUGCAGGUGACCGUCCUUUUCGAAGUCUACAGCGGUAAACCUGUAUCUGCUUAACAAUAAGGCAGGCAUUCUUAUAUCGGGUUCCUAAAUACUUAUUUCGGGUCCCUAAAAAUAGCGUCGACGGUUCCUUUAAAUAUGCCUCAACGCAAACCAACCAAACGUGUUAUUCGCUUCUUAACGCGAAUCUCUUCCGACGAACCAAAAAAUUCUAUGAACAUAUAGUUGCCAUUUUUGUCUCAAAUAUUAUUUAUAAACGCCAUUUUUGAUCUUAUAGUUCAACUCAAGUUCAAAUAUUUAAAUAAUCUCGUUGUGAAUAUUUUAGUUUCUAAAAUCAUGGAAGCUAAGUGAAAACUUUUAUCAACUCUUGUGAAAUUGAUUUAUGAAGCUUAAAGAGAUUGCUAAAAUUGACUCAGAUCGUCCAUUUUUUACAACUUUUUUAAAUUGGUAUUAUUUUUUGCAAAUUAAUACAAAUUUCUUCAAUCUUAAUUGAUCAGCAGCUAAAGACGCGGGUUAAAGAUGUCACUUGAUUCGCAUAUAUUUUGGAACUUACUGUAAAUUAAAGUAAAGAAUUGUUUAUUGUUCAUUUUAAUCUGUAAUAUAUGUAAAAUGUAUACAUGAACUUCUUGUUCUCAUGCACUAUUGGGUGUUUCAUUAUCAAUUUUCAUAAAAACUUCAGAUUUUUGAUUUACUCUAUAUUUUUCCCCGUUCAUCUAGUUCCCUGGGUCAAACAUAUGCAACAACAUUGUGAUGAAUCUCUAAAUGCUUAAUAGACACAGAAGACAUAUUAGAACUGGGAAAAAUACAUUUUUGUGGAACACUCCAAUCAACUGUUCUGAAUGUUUUAUAGAGUUAUAGAGAUUAUAGAGUUAUAUUUUCAAAUUUUUCAAUCUUAAUCAAUGUUCGAAUACUCAACAAGCAAAAUUCCAUUUUUUUUCUCAUUUCAUUUUCUAGUCGAUUUAAAAAUUUCUGAGAUAUUAGUUUUGAUCCAGAGGGGACCGCGAGGGGUGGUAAAAUGAUACUUUGAGACGGACAAACGGUUAAAACGAAAAUUUCCACUAAUCAAACCUGUCACUUUUUUGCCCAAUUGAAAAGUUACGGACUUUAAUAUAUUUACCAAAUUGUAAUUAAUCUGUCGCAAAAAGUACAAGGUGUCCAUGAAACCAUGGAUUUAUUUAACUAGAACCGAAACUAAUUUUCCAAAAUCUGCGUAAAUGAUUUUAGACAUGAUUCCUUUUCUCAAAAACUUGGUCCUCGAAUAAAUUAAAUCCAAAUAGAUCUUCAUUUUUGGGACCCCAUUGGUCGUUAAAAUGACAUGAUUUUUAUUCAUUAUAUAAAAUCUUCAAAACCAUUUUUAAAAAUUAUUAUUUCUUAUUUUGAAGAUACAGGGUCGUGCGUUCUGAUAAUUCAAAAAUUUUAAAUGAAGGUUUCUACAUUUUAUUCACCAACUUUAUCGAACAGAAAACAUCAAAUAUGCAUGAUAUUCGAUAUUUUUGGUAUGUUCAACUAUAAAUUAUUGACUCAAUCUGUAAAUUACAUUUGUACAUAUGAUUUGAACCAAGUUAAAUUAUUGUAUAUUAUUGUUUGUAAAUAUAUUUCUCAUCGUCA